rnacentral:tRNA from 1 species
GAGGGUAUAGCUCACUGGUAGAGUGCCUGCUUAGUAUGCAUGAAUUCCUGGGUUUGAUCCCCGGUACCUCG